CCGAGUGAGGGCCCUCUGGGUCCAACCUCCCACCCGUGUUUAAUCGUACCUUGUUGCUUCGGUGCGCCCGCCUCACGGCCGCCGGGGGGCUUCUGCCCCCGGGUCCGCGCGCACCGAAGACACCAUUGAACUCUGUAUGAAGAUUGCAGUCUGAGCGAAAACUAAAUAAGUUA
rnacentral:misc_RNA from 1 species